rnacentral:rRNA from 1 species
UAGGCACCAAGCGUUGUUCGGAAUUACUGGGCGUAAAGGGCGCGUAGGCGGUUUGCUAAGUCGGAUGUGAAAACUCUGGGCUCAACCCAGAGCCUGCAUCCGAAACUGGCAGGCUAGAGUUCUGGAGAGGGUAGCGGAAUUCCUGGUGUAGCGGUGAAAUGCGUAGAUAUCUGGAGGAACACCGGUGGCGAAGGCGGCAUCCUGGACCAACACUGACACUGAGGAGCGAAAGCCAGGGGAGCAAACGGG